rnacentral:snoRNA from 1 species
CUACAUUGAUGUGUUUCAUAGGACACUUUUGGAGUUACUGUGAAAAUUAAUUCUGACCAGC